rnacentral:rRNA from 1 species
AUUGAACGCUGGCGGCAGGCUUAACACAUGCAAGUCGAGCGAGCGGCGGACGGGUGAGUAAUGUCUGGGAAACUGCCUGAUGGAGGGGGAUAACUACUGGAAACGGUAGCUAAUACCGCAUACCAUCAGAUGUGCCCAGAUGGGAUUAGCUAGUAGGUGGGGUAAUGGCUCACCUAGGCGACGAUCCCUAGCUGGUCUGAGAGGAUGACCAGCAACACUGGAACUGAGACGCGGUCAAGACUCCUCCGGGAGGCAGCAAUGGGGAAUAUUGCACAAUGGGCGCAGGCCUGAUGCAGCCAUGCAGCGUGUAUGAAGAAGGCCUUCGGGUUGUAAAGCACUUUCAGCGAGGAGGCGUUACUCGAAGAAGAAGCACCGGCUAACUACGUGCCAGCAGCCGCGGUAAUUC